rnacentral:misc_RNA from 1 species
GAUGAAGAACGCAGCGAAAUGCGAUACGUAAUGUGAAUUGCAGAAUUCAGUGAAUCAUCGAGUCUUUGAACGCACAUUGCGCCCCCUGGUAUUCCGGGGGGCAUGCCUGUCCGAGCGUCAUUGCUGCCCUCAAGCACGGCUGGUGUGUUGGGCCUCCGUCCUCCUCCCGGGGGACGGGCCCGAAAGGCAGCGGCGGCACCGCGUCCGGUCCUCGAGCGUAUGGGGCUUCGUCACCCGCUCUUGUAGGCCCGGCCGGCGCUUGCCGACACAUCAAUCUUUUUUCCAGGUUGACCUCGGAUCAGGUAGGGAUACCCGCUGAACUUAAGCAUAUCAAUAAGCGGAGGA